rnacentral:rRNA from 1 species
UAGGGAAUAUUAGUAAUGGGCGAAAGCCUGAACUAGCAACGCCGCGUGUGCGAAGAAGGCCUUCGGGUUGUAAAGCACUUUUUGAGAGGAUGAGGAAGGACGGUACUCUCAGAAUAAGUCUCGGCUAACUACGUGCCAGCAGCCGCGGUAACACGUAGGAGGCGAACGUUAUCCGGAUUUACUGGGCGUAAAGCGCGUGUAGGUGGUUUGGUAAGUAGGGCGUGAAAGCUCCUGGCUCAACUGGGAGAGGCCGUUCUAUACUGCCGAACUAGAGGAUGGUAGAGGGAGGUGGAAUGCCGGGCGUAGCGGUGGAAUGCGCAGAUAUCCGGAGGAACACCAGUGGCGAAAGCGGCCUCCUGGACCAUUCCUGACACUCAGACGCGAAAGCUAGGGUAGCAAACGG